AGGAACGAACGCUGGCGGCGUGCCUAAGCCAUGCAAGUCGAACGGGUUGUCGCAAGACAAUCAGUGGCGAACUGGUGAGUAAUACGUGGGUAAUCUGCCCGAGAGUGGGGAAUAGCCCUUCCAACGAGGGGGUAACACCGCAUAUUAUCGCGAAUCCGCAUGGAUUUGCGAUGAAAACAGGGGAUCGCAAGACCUUGUGCUCUCGGAUGAACCCGCGCCCCAUUAGCUAGUUGGUGAGGUAACGGCUCACCAAGGCGACGAUGGGUAGCCGGCCUGAGAGGGUGACCGGCCACACUGGGACUGAGAUACGGCCCAGACUCCUACGGGAGGCAGCAGGCGGGAAUAUUGGGCAAUGGACGAAAGUCUGACCCAGCGACGCCGCGUGAGGGAUGAAGCUUCUCGGAGCGUAAACCUCAAACGGAUAGGGACGAAAAGCCUAUCGGCUAAUAUCCGGUAGGCCUGACGGUACCUGUUACGAAGCUCCGGCUAACUCCGUG
rnacentral:rRNA from 1 species